GACGAACGCUGGCGGCGUGCUUAAUACAUGCAAGUCGAACGGAAGUAGCAAUACUUUAGUGGCGCACGGGUGAGGAACACGUAGAUGAUCUGCCCUUGAGAUCGAGAUAACCCCGGGAAACUGGGGCUAAUACCGGAUAAUGCAUUAUUAUUGGAUUAAUAAUGUUAAAGCGGCGCAAGUCGCACUUGAGGAUGAGUCUGCGACCUAUCAGCUAGUUGGCGGUGUAAUGGACCACCAAGGCAAAGACGGGUAGCUGAUCUGAGAGGAUGAUCAGCCACACUGGAACUGAGACACGGUCCAGACUCCUACGGGAGGCAGCAGUGAGGAAUCUUGCGCAAUGGGGAACCCUGACGCAGCAACGCCGCGUGAGUGAGGAAGGCCUUCGGUCGUAAAGCGUCUGUCAGAUGGGAAGAAUGGAUGGGGCGUAAGUAUCGCCCGAUCCUUGACGGUACCGAUCACGAGGAAGCACCGGCUAACUCCG
rnacentral:rRNA from 1 species